rnacentral:rRNA from 1 species
UGGGGAAUAUUGGACAAUGGGCGAAAGCCUGAUCCAGCAAUGCCGCGUGUGUGAAGAAGGCCUUCGGGUUGUAAAGCACUUUUGUCCGGAAAGAAAUCCUUGGCUCUAAUACAGUCGGGGGAUGACGGUACCGGAAGAAUAAGCACCGGCUAACUACGUGCCAGCAGCCGCGGUAAUACGUAGGGUGCAAGCGUUAAUCGGAAUUACUGGGCGUAAAGCGUGCGCAGGCGGUUUGCUAAGACCGAUGUGAAAUCCCCGGGCUCAACCUGGGAACUGCAUUGGUGACUGGCAGGCUAGAGUAUGGCAGAGGGGGGUAGAAUUCCACGUGUAGCAGUGAAAUGCGUAGAGAUGUGGAGGAAUACCGAUGGCGAAGGCAGCCCCCUGGGCCAAAUACUGACGCUCAUGCACGAAAAGCGUGGGGAGCAAAACAGGAUUAGAUACCCUGGUAGUCCACGCCCUAAAACGAUGUCAACUAGUUGUUGGGGAUUCAUUUCCUUAGUAACGUAGCUAACGCGUGAAGUUGACCGCCUGGGGGAGUACGGUCGCAAAGAUUAAAAACUUAAAGGAAUUGACGGGGUCAUAGCUG